GGACACACAAGCUCUUUUAUUAAAAUAUAACCCCACUGACAGAUUGCGGAGUAGGCACAGAGGCCCCAAAGCACCCCCCGGAAACCGCAGAGGUCCCGCCCCGCCGCUCAGCAGCUCAGUGUAGCGGCCAGAAGUUCUCCUCCCCCGGAUCUUGGCUCCCUCCUGGGGCGCGCAAGCGUGUCGUCGCCCGCGCCAGUCCAAUCAGAGCGCGCGACUAAAAUAGCGCGGUAUAAAAGCUGGACGGCUGGCAGGGCUGGUGCAGACUCGCGCUGGGGCGGGGUUGCGCGCGCAGGUGAGGGGGGCGGGGCCGGCGCCACCGGCGGGGCGGGGCAGCCACACCCACCGCGCACCUGCUUCUGCCUGACGUGGAUCCGGAAGGUCGUCAGCCCUGGCUCCAAAUACGUAACAGUGAGUUUCUAAGUGAGUCACACGGAUGCGGCUGGUCUCCAGUGAAACAUAACUCAUCGCCUCACUUUUCUCAACGGUUCCCUCUUCGGAAGGAAGCGCAGGCCGCAGCGUCGUCUGAGGGCGUGAUCGCCUUCGUCGUACCCGCGUCUCCAGUGGCCACCCCUUGUCCUGCAGGAACGCGCAUCUGCUUAGCAGGCGCUGAGCCCUUGAGGAGGCCUAAAAUGAAUGAAUGCUGCUUUGCCUCCUGAGCGGGCUUAACAGCUGUGGGUGGGGGACAGGAGGGUGUCCAUGCCUAACUAAGGCCAACGGUGGUAAGACAGACGUUCUUCCCAGGAGGAGAUCAAUUCCAGGAGGGAGGCAUUCCUGGGAGUCACCUUUCUCCGAGGAAGUGACCCGAGCUGUAGGAGGUGGAAUCACAAAGGCUUUGGCAUCCUACAUACCUGGGUUUUAGCCUCAGCUUGAGUCACUCAACAUAUGUGACGCUGAACACAUCAGCAAACCUCAAAUCUUCUCCACUUUUAAGAUGAAGUUAAUAGCAGGCACCAUAGCACGUGCCUGUAACCCCAGAUACUCGGGAGGCUGAGGCAGGAAGAUCGCUUGAACCUGUGAGGUGGAGGUUGGAGUGAUCCGAGAUCGCACCACUCACUCCAGCUUGGGCAAGGGAUCGAGACUUCGUCUCAAAAAAAAGAAAAAAAAAAAAAAAGCAGGUAGCACUACAUGGCUGAUAGCACAUUUUUGAGGAGCAUCUCUCCUUAUUCGUGCUUAGGUUUAUCCCUCCCUCCUUCCCUCCCUUCCUUCCAUUUCUCUUCAUUUCUUUUUUUCUCCUUCAUUCCUUCAUUUUUCUUAUUUUUUUCUAACUCACAUAAUUUACACACAAUAACCUGCACAUAUCUUAAGAGGACAGCUGGGUGAACUUUUGCAUAAAUAUAUACAUGUCAUUAGCCCCCCCAGGUCAAGAUAUAGAACAUUUCUAUCACCCCAGGUUUCCAACUGCUCCUUCCCAGACAAUAGUACCACCCGAGGGGUAACCCCUAUUCAUUUGGACUUAAAUUACCAAGUAUGAGUUGUGUCUGCUCGUCAACUUCAGGUAAUUGCAAUCAAGUGGUGUACUUUAUUCCAGACUUGUCCAACCUGCAUAGGUUUUGAACGUGGCCCAACACAAAUUCGGAAACUUUGUUAAAACAUGAGAUUGUGUGUGUGUGUGUGUGUGUGUGUGUGUGUGUGUUGAGACAGCCUCUGUCGCCCAGGCUGGAGGGCAGUGGUGCGAUUUGGCUCACUGCAACCACCACCGCCGAGGUUCAAGCGAUUCUUGUGCUUCAGCCUCCUGAGUAGCUGGGAUUCCAGGCUCGCGCCACCACGCCUAGCUAAUUUUUGUAUUUUUAGUAGAGAUGGGGUUUCACCAUGUUGGCCAGGCUUGUCUCAAACUCCUGAACCUCAAGUGAUCUGCCUGCCUUGGCCUCCGAAAGUGCUGGAAUUACCAGCUUGAGCCACUGCACCUCGCCUUAAUGUACACUUUUCUAAAGGCUGAUGAUGGCGACUGCCAUUUCAUGGCCUUAUUUGCUAUGCAUUUAUUCUCAUUGGUGGAAGGUCUGUUCAAAUCUUUUACCUGUUUUUUUUUUUUUUUUUUAAAUCAGGUUUGUUUGACGGAGUCUUGCUCUGUUGCCCAAGCUGAAGUGCAGUGGCAUGAUCUCACUGAAACCUUUGCCUCCUGGGUUCAAGUGAUUCUCCUGCCUCAGCCUCCCGAGUAGCUAGCUGGGGUUACAGGUGCUUGCCACCAUGCCCAGCUAAUUUUUGUAUUUUUAGUAGAGAUGGGGUUUUACCAUGCUGGCCAGGCUAGUCUUGAACUCCUGACUUCGUGAUCUGCCUGCCUUGACCUCCCAAAGUGCUGGGAUUACAGGAAUGAGCCACCACAUCCGGCCAAAAUCAGAUUGUUUUCCUACAAUUGAAUUUUGCGUGUUCUUUUAAUAUUCUGGAUACAAGUCCUUUAUUAAAAAGACUCUUGCAUUGACUUUGCACCUGGCAGUUUGUGAAAAGUCAGUUGGCCAUAUUUGUGUAAAUUUAUUUCUGUACCAUUUGUUUCAUUAAUCUGUGUCUAUCCCUUCACUGGCAGGACACUGUCUUUGCUAUAGCUUUAAAGGAAGUCUUAACGCUCUCCAACCUUGUUCUUUUUCCAGUUUAUUUGGGUAUUUUACUUCCUUUGACUUUCCCUAUAUAUUUUAGGCUUGUCUAUAUAUUUUGACAAUCCUGCUGGGGAUUUUGUUCUCUUUUUGCUUUGUUUUGUUUUUGAGACAGGGUCUCAGUCUGUAGCCCCUGAUGGAGUGCAGUGGUGGCCACCAUAGCUCACUGUAACCGAAAACUCCUGGGCUCAAGGGAUCUUCCUGCCUCAGCCUCCUGAGCAGCUAGGAUCGGAGGUGUGCACCACCACACCUGGCUAAUUAAUUAAUUAAUUAAUUUUUUUUGCUGAGAUAGAGGAUUCUGCCCAUACAGGUCUAAACAUUCCUGGCCUCAAGUGAUCCUACCGUCUCAGUCCCUAAAGUGCUGGGAUUACAGGUGUGAGCCACUGUGCUCCACCACAUGGGGGAUUUUGAUUUUUUGAUUGUAUUUGUAUUAAAUUUAUUUUUUUUUUCGAGAGUCUCCCACUGUCACCCAGGCUGGAAUGCAAUGGCAUGAUCUCAGCUCACUGCAAACUCGGCCUUCUGGGUUCAAGCAAUUCUCCUGUUUUAGCCUCCCAAGUAGCUGGGAUUACAGGCACCCACCACCCCACCUGGCUAAUUUUUUGCAUUUUUAGUAGAGACAGGCUUUCACUAUGUUGCCUAGCUGGUCUCGAACUCCUAACUUUGUGAUCCAUCUGUCUCAGCCUCCCAAAGUUCUGGGAUUAUAGGCAUGAGCCACCACUCUUGGCCAUAUUUGUGUUAAAUCUGUAGAUCAAUUGGAGAAGAAUGGACAUCUUAAAUAUAUUGAGUCGACCAGUCUGUGAAUAUGGUAUGCCUUUCCAUUUAUUUAGAUUGUUUUAUUUCUUUCAUCAGGAUUUUUUGGUAUUCAUAUAUAGAUCCUUUACAUGGUUUGUCAGAUAUAUGGUAGACUAUUUUUUGAACCCACUGUGAUUUUAAAAAUUCAGUUUCCAGAUAUUCACUACUAUCAUAGGGAAUUAUAGUUGGUUUUCAUGUGUUAACCUUGCAUCCUACAAUCUUGCUAACCUGACAUUGGUUUUAGAAGGUUUCUAUGGAAUCUAGGAGAUUUUUUUUAAUAGACAAUCAUGUUGUUUGUGAAUAGGGACUAGGGACAGUUGCGUUUUCUCUUUUCCAAUCUGUAUGACUUUUAUUACAUUUUAUUGUCUUAUUUCACAAGAUAGGACUUUCUGUGCAACGCUGAGUAGGAGGGGUGAGAUGGACUCCUUGACUUGUUCCUGAUCUUAGGGGAAAAGAAGCAUUACAUCUUUCACACUGUCCUGUCUUCCUGGAUCCCAGUGGGCUACGCUGUCUUCCCAAGUUACUCCAUCUCCUGAUCCUAGCACCAGGCACGGUGCAUCCAUCCAUCCACUAAAUUUUUCCAAUCACUCGUCCAAUCACCGGUUAUUGAGUUCCUCCUUGGUGACAGGCACUGUACUGGCUGGUAGAGAGACACAGGUAAACAAGGCAGCCGGCUGCCUGUGAGCCAGCUCUGGGACAUUCAGGACGUGUGGUGUUGUAGAAGAAAUAAUAGCUCAGUGGCACAAAGGAUCAGAGAAAUUCACACCUGAGACGUGGGAAUCAACUACAAAGACAAAGAUGGUUCAUCUCUUCCCAGAGAAUAUUCUCCUUCAUGCAAGAACCUAGGGUCUCGCUCUGUUGCAGCUGUAGUACAGUGGUCUAAAGAAGUCUCACUGCAGCCUUGACCUCCUGGACUCAAGCAAUCCUCCUGCCUCGGUCUCCCAAGUAGCUGAGAACAUAAGUGCACACCACCAUGCUUGGCUAAUUAAAUAUUUUUUUUGGUAUAGAUGGGAUUCUAUCCUGUUGUCCAGGCUGGCCUUGAACUCCUGGGCUCUAGCGAUCUGCCUGCCUUGGCCUCCCCAAGGCUGGGGUUACAGGCAUGAGCCACGGUGCUUGGCCCUGUGCUGUUUAUUGUGUACCAGUUGUACCUCAACAAAGAUGAACAAACAAAAAGAAUAUCUAAGCUGGGCCCGAUGCUUAUACCCAUAAUCCUACAUUUUGGGAAGUUGAGGUUGGAGAAUCAUUUGAGGCCAGGAGUUCGAGACUAGCAUGGGCAAGAUAAUGAGACCUCAUCUCUACCAAUAACUAACUAACCAACUAACCAACUAACCAACUAACUAACUAACUAACUAACCAACUAACUAACUAACUUAGCUAGACAUGGCAGCACAUGCCUGUAGUCUCAGCUACUCAGGAGGCAGAGGAUGGCUUGAGCCUAGCAGGUUGAAGCCACAGUGCCUCUGCACUCCAGCCUGGGUAACAGCAUGACUUUGACUCAGAAAACAAUCAAACAAAAAGAAUGUCACGUCUGGGUUCGGUGGCUCACCUAUAAUUUCAGCACUUUGGGAGGCUGAGGUGGUGCAGAUCAAGAGGUCAGGAAAUCGAGACCAUCCUGGCCAACAUACUGAAACCCUGUCUCUACUAAAAUACAAAAAAAAAAAAAAAAAAAAAAAAAAUUAGCUGGGCUUGGUGGUGCGCGCCUGUAGUCCUAGCUACUCAGUGGGCUGAGGCAGGGGAAUCCCUUGAACCAGGGAGGUGGAGGUUGCAGUGAGCUGAGAUCACACCACUGCACUCCAGCCUGGAGACAGAGUGAGACUCCAUCUUAAAAAAAAAUGUCAAAAGGAGGGCGAUCUACAAUAAUUCUUAAUGAGAAGAUGGGAAAUGACUAUGAAAAGCUUUCGGACCAUGUAGACACUCACCAGUUCUUUCAUGGAUAAGUCUUUCAAAACAGCUGCUGAACUUAAAGGCAGUUCUACAGACUUUUGUUAUGUAAAAAGAUGGUGUUUCAAAUUUGCUGACAUUUUUCUGACACGGCAAGUUGUUCUCAGGAUACGAUUUCUGGCAGAAUUUUUUUUUUGAGACGGAGUUUCACUCUUGUCACCCAGGCUGGAGUGCAAUGGCAUGAUCUUGGUUCACUGUAACCUCCGCCUCCCGGGUUCUAGUGAUUCUCCUGCCUCAUCCUCCUGAGUAGCUGGGAUUAUAGGCUUGUGCCACCAUGUCCAGCAAAUUUUGUAUUUUUAGUAGAGACAUGGUUUCACCAUGUUGACCAGGCUGGUCUCGAACUUCUGACCUCAGGUGAUCCACUCUAAAGUGCUGGGCCAUUGCACCCGGCCACAGAUAUUUUUGAAAACAAAAAUAAAAACAAAUACAUAAUCUGAUUCCUCAUGGUUAGAGGAGAUAUUCUAAAAUUGAGUAUGCCAGCAACUAUUUUUUAAAAGAAAAUUUCAAAAGGAUUUUAAAAACAGAUGUUUGGAACUAUUUCUAUUAUUAUGUGAUUUUGUUACUAAAAAUGAUGUGUGUCACUUUAAAAAAAAAAUCAUACUUGGCUAGGUGAAGUGGCUCACACCUGCAAUCCCAGCACUUUGGGAGGCCGAGUUGGGUGGAUCACCUAAGGUCGGGAGUUUAAGACCAGCCUGGACAACAUGGCGAAACCCCAUCUCUACUAAAAAUACAAAAAUUAGCCAGGAGUGGUGGCACACACCUGUAAUCCCAGGAGGCUGAGGUAGAAGACUUGCUCCAACCCAGGAGGCAAAGGUUGCAGUGAGCCAAGAUUGUGCCACUGCAUUCCAACCUGGGUGACAGAAUGAGACUCCAUCUCAAAAAAAAAAAAAAAAAAAUUUCAUAUUUUUCCACUUCAAAACUUGGGAGCCCAUACAUAUAUAUACCUACUGUAUACCUGUGGGAAGUAGAAAAGUUCCUUUUGAAAGUUUCCUUUCUUGUUAAAGAAUAAGUGUGCUAAUAACUUGGUGAAGCCCUAGCCUAUGUAGCUGUUAGGCAUGCCACGCUUACAGGCAUGUAGUACAUUCUAUGUCCUUGUACUUUAAUGAAGACAUUUGUGCUGGAUGUGCUCACAGGCAUGUCCCAGCUCUCCAUUGCUUUUACCUGUUUAAAAAAGUUUUAUGUUGUUAGCCAAUCAGGUUUUAGUUUAGAUUGUGACGUCUGGCUCCAGCCAAUGGAGAUCAGACACAGCAGUAAGGACAACCCCAAAUGAGUAAAGGAUAAAUGUGUGUUUUCCUUUGUUCUUUGUACUCUCAUGGCACAAUGGCUAGUGAGGCCCUUCCUGCAGUCCAGGAAGUAAAAAUUGUGUUGCUGAAAGUUCCUUUGUCUCAGUGCUAAUUUUUCUUUGCAGCACCAAGCAUCUAUUUCCAAUAGUACCCAUAAGAAUUAUUUUAAAAGUUGGAACCAGAAUCUUCUAACUUGCUUAAAAUGUUUCAAAUUAAAUUUUCAGGCUUUCCAACCAUUUAUUAAAAUUGUCAAAAUGGAACAGCCUCUGAUUAUUUUUCAAGAACAACUGAUUGGAUCUUUAGGAUUUAUACUUGCUAGUGAAUUUCAACUUCUGUGUAAUUGGUGAGUGAGACUAAUAAAUAUUUUAAUUUAAUAAACACAGUAUCUUUUUUCCAUUUGCCUGUCCUUACCUUUGUGAGAUGCCUUUUUCAGGUAAGAUACUCAUGAAAACAAAGUAAUGAAAUAACAUGAACUUAAUACCAGACCUUCAAAUUGCCCUAUCAUAAAGUAUUAAAUCAAUAUUUAAAAAAAUUAUGCAAAACUGAAAAUCAUAUUGCUCUCGCUAAAAUAUAACACAAUCUAUAUAUGUAUAAUACAGAUUAUAUAUUAUAUGUACAUACAAUGUUACUGUUCUUAAUGAGGACAAAAUGUUUUUUGGUACCAUUCAAAAAUAAAGUAAAGCAAGCAUUAUUUUAGAAAACCCACUAAUGUACUACUAAGGGUAUAAGAUGAAAACUGUGGUAUACUCUAUUCUAGUGAUGUUUCCGAAGAUGCCGUAAUUCUUUAGAUAUUGGGGUGUUAACCAUCCCCCCACUACCAGUGACUAUGAAUUCAUGGGAACUGGCUGGGCUUAAUGCCUGAACCCAGUCUUGUUUGAAAGGUACUUAAUGGAGUUUAUAUAGACAAAUUCAGUGUGCUAUCUUGGUUCUAUUGGAAUGGUCUCAGGUCUAUAGAAUGUGUAAAGCAAGCAGUAAUCACAUUUGGAUGUUGUAUCAGAACUCGUGGUUAUAAUAUGGUUUAAUGUAAUGACCUCCAACAGUAGAGCAACACUCAUGAUGACUGUAAAUUAUUAAUCAAGUCAAUGUGGACUGCGAAGCACAGGUCCCAGAAGCAGCUGACCAAGCAAGUUUUAUUAUAGAGGAUAGCACCCUGGCUAUCCUUGAGCCAUAACAAGAGCCAUAAAAAACCCUCUGUAUAGGCUAAUUCAAGGAGGGCACAAUGAUGUAGGGGAUGAUUUUGCAACCUAACAUUGACAAAGGUGAGAAGCCAGAGUAAAACUGCUGUGACGCACUUAGAGAGCUUCUGGACUUUGGCUGGACCUUCAGGCCACCCGGGGCACUAGUAUUUAAAUAAACAAAUAAAAACUCUUCAAGGUAUUCCAAUAUGCAGCCACGAUGGAGAACCACUUUUAAACCAUAACUGUCAUUGCAUUUGCUUCACUUUCACUUCUGGACGUUAUAGAGAAACUUGUACGCGACUUGCCCUCUGCUAAAAUCAACUUUAAAAGUGGACAGAAUAUAUGCAUCAACUGUUUUGAGGCACUGAUAACAGGCAAUGCUGGACGAGGAUCCUGAGAUACGGGAAACACAAGACGAGCCCCGUCAUCACCUGGCUUUCUGCCUGCUGUAGCACAGGGAAGUGAGAGCCACGCUGAGGAGUGACUUUACUGAGAUGAAGAGGCAGAAUUUGGGAUUUGGGGCUGCUGAAGUAGCUGAAGUUUGCAGAACAGGGUACUAGAAAGAAGGGAUUUGUGCAGGCCAAUGGGGUCAGAAGUUUGCAUGGGAAGUCGUUAUGUGAAUCCUUAACUAGCGUCUAGGCUGUGAUUGUCCAAGGCAUGAGGCCUGUUGUGGGGCUGAGAGCUGCACAGUGAUACUAGAACUUGUACGUUCUUGGGAGAUGUUAGCACUCUGGCCUAACCUGAACUGACGUCUUACUGAACACCCUGGGCAUUCAGGUGAGACCUAGAAAGGCUAUGCCUUGGGAGUAAGGACUGUGCCAUAAAGUAAGAACAAUACUUGAGGACUAAGCUUUAAACCAGAAUAGAUUUCUCCCAAACAAAGAUUCAUACCAGCCUAACCUGAUCAAAAGGCUGUAAGAGUAAUUUAAAUGCCUGCCAGAACAAAACUCAACAUCUUAUACAGGAAGAUUGCAUAAUUCAAAUUUCCCACGUCAUAUCAUUCACAGUGUCCGCCAUACAAUAACAAAUCAGUAGACAUGCAAAGAAGCAGAAAAAUGUAACCCAUGAUCAAGGAAAAAAGCUAUCAAUAACAUCUAGAUCCAAUUGGUCUAGAUGUUGAACUUGGCAAAGAAAGACUGAGCAACUAAUAUAAAAAUAUCCAAAGACUUAAAGAAAAAGAUCAUCCUUGUAAGAUCAAUAAGGAGUCUCAGUAGAGAAAUGGGACUAUAAAAAAGAAACAAUAGAAACACUAAAAUGAAAAAAUAAAAUAUGUUAAAUAAAAGUUUCACUGCUGUUCUCACUCAUAGGCAGGUGCUGAACAAUGAGAACACAGGGA